CGAGCGGAUCGAUGGGAGCUUGCUCCCUGAGAUCAGCGGCGGACGGGUGAGUAACACGUGGGUAACCUGCCUGUAAGACUGGGAUAACUCCGGGAAACCGGGGCUAAUACCGGAUAACACCUACCCCCGCAUGGGGGAAGGUUGAAAGGUGGCUUCGGCUAUCACUUACAGAUGGACCCGCGGCGCAUUAGCUAGUUGGUGAGGUAACGGCUCACCAAGGCGACGAUGCGUAGCCGACCUGAGAGGGUGAUCGGCCACACUGGGACUGAGACACGGCCCAGACUCCUACGGGAGGCAGCAGUAGGGAAUCUUCCGCAAUGGACGAAAGUCUGACGGAGCAACGCCGCGUGAGUGAAGAAGGUUUUCGGAUCGUAAAACUCUGUUGUUAGGGAAGAACAAGUGCCGUUCGAAUAGGGCGGCACCUUGACGGUACCUAACCAGAAAGCCACGGCUAACUACGUGCCAGCAGCCGCGGUAAUACGUAGGUGGCAAGCGUUGUCCGGAAUUAUUGGGCGUAAAGCGCGCGCAGGUGGUUUCUUAAGUCUGAUGUGAAAGCCCACGGCUCAACCGUGGAGGGUCAUUGGAAACUGGGGAACUUGAGUGCAGAAGAGGAAAGUGGAAUUCCAAGUGUAGCGGUGAAAUGCGUAGAUAUUUGGAGGAACACC
rnacentral:rRNA from 1 species